rnacentral:rRNA from 1 species
UACAGAGACUGCAAGCGUUAUUCGGAUUCAUUGGGCGUAAAGGGUGCGUAGGUGGCGAGGCAAGUCAGAUGUGAAAUCCCGGGGCUCAACCCCGGAACUGCAUUUGAAACUGCCUUGCUCGAGUACUGGAGAGGAGACUGGAAUUUACGGUGUAGCAGUGAAAUGCGCAGAUAUCAGGAGGAACACCGGUGGCGAAGGCGGGUCUCUGGGCCGAUACUGACGCUGAGGAGCGAAAGCGUGGGGAGCGAACAGG